AUUGAACGCUGGCGGCAGGCCUAACACAUGCAAGUCGAGCGGAUGAAGGGAGCUUGCUCCUGGAUUCAGCGGCGGACGGGUGAGUAAUGCCUAGGAAUCUGCCUGGUAGUGGGGGAUAACGUCCGGAAACGGGCGCUAAUACCGCAUACGUCCUGAGGGAGAAAGUGGGGGAUCUUCGGACCUCACGCUAUCAGAUGAGCCUAGGUCGGAUUAGCUAGUCGGUGGGGUAAAGGCCUACCAAGGCGACGAUCCGUAACUGGUCUGAGAGGAUGAUCAGUCACACUGGAACUGAGACACGGUCCAGACUCCUACGGGAGGCAGCAGUGGAGAAUAUUGGACAAUGGGCGAAAGCCUGAUCCAGCCAUGCCGCGUGUGUGAAGAAGGUCUUCGGAUUGUAAAGCACUUUAAGUUGGGAGGAAGGGCAGUAAGUUAAUACCUUGCUGUUUUGACGUUACCAACAGAAUAAGCACCGGCUAACUUCGUG
rnacentral:rRNA from 1 species